rnacentral:rRNA from 1 species
GACGAACGCUGGCGGCGUGCUUAACACAUGCAAGUCGAACGGUAAGGCCCUUCGGGGUACACGAGUGGCGAACGGGUGAGUAACACGUGGGUGAUCUGCCCUGCACUUCGGGAUAAGCCUGGGAAACUGGGUCUAAUACCGGAUAGGACCACUGCCUGCAUGGGUGGUGGGGGAAAGCCUUUGCGGUGUGGGAUGGGCCCGCGGCCUAUCAGCUUGGUGGUGGGGUGAGGGCCUACCAAGGCGACGACGGGUAGCCGGCCUGAGAGGGUGACCGGCCACACUGGGACUGAGAUACGGCCCAGACUCCUACGGGAGGCAGCAGUGGGGAAUAUUGCACAAUGGGCGCAAGCCUGAUGCAGCGACGCCGCGUGAGGGAUGACGGCCUUCGGGCUGUAAACCUCUUUCAGCACCGACGAAGCGCAAGUGACGGUAGGUGCAGAAGAAGGACCGGCCAACUACGUGCCAGCAGCCGCGGUAA